rnacentral:rRNA from 1 species
GCGGAGGAAAAGAAACCAACAGGGAUUGCCUCAGUAACGGCGAGUGAAGCGGCAAAAGCUCAAAUUUGAAAUCUAGCACCUUCGGUGUUUGAGUUGUAAUUUGAAGAUGGUAACCUUGGGUUUGGCUCUUGUCUAUGUUCCUUGGAACAGGACGUCAUAGAGGGUGAGAAUCCCGUCUGAUGAGAUGCCCAUUCCUAUGUAAGGUGCUAUCGAAGAGUCGAGUUGUUUGGGAAUGCAGCUCUAAGUGGGUGGUAAAUUCCAUCUAAAGCUAAAUAUUGGCGAGAGACCGAUAGCGAACAAGUACAGUGAUGGAAAGAUGAAAAGAACUUUGAAAAGAGAGUGAAAAAGUACGUGAAAUUGUUGAAAGGGAAGGGCAUUAGAUCAGACUUGGUGUUUUACGAUUAUCUUCUCUUCUUGAGUUGUGCACUCGUAUUUCACUGGGCCAGCAUCGAUUCGGAUGGCAAGAUAAUGGCAGUUGAAUGUGGCUUCACUUCGGUGGAGUGUUAUAGCUUCUGCUGAUAUUGCCUGUCUGGAUCGAGGGCUGCGUCUUUUGACUAGGAUGCUGGCGUAAUGAUCUAAUGCCGCCCGUCUUG